GGUCGGUAUCAGAUGUCUUCACUUUACCCAACGGUGCCCCUGCGUCCUGUCCUGAAUUCCUCGCGCCGUCGUAGUAUGCUCUGCGACCCGGGCCAGCAGCGCUGCUGUUCGCUGUUGGGGGAACGAACUGCAGACCGGAUCACAGCUCUUCCUGCACUGAGCCGGCUCCCCAGUUCUGGGGUCACAGACCCUGCACCUGCACGCACCUUACAGUGCACCAAGCCUCUGAGACUUUAAACGCUGUCCUGUGGUCACAGUGUCUCUUCACACCACAGGACACUAAGACAGCAGCCAUCUAUUGGUCACUUCCGUGUCACCGAAGCCCUUGUGUCAACUGGACGGCUGUCUCUUGCGGUAUUUGGGGAACCGUGUUCUUGGAGUCCUGGUCAUACUCAGCUUCAGAAUCAACUUUCUUAUCCCCUGUGAUGAGAGCUGUGUUUCUUCACACUGUUCAGCUGCAUGCUCCAAGAAUCCGACUGAAGCCUCAAGAAUUUCAACACAAUUGAUGGUUGCUGCACUGGCCACCAGCAUAGACAGAAUGAUAAUUAUUAUGACUUGAGAUGGGGGCUCAUGUGACCCAGGCUGUCCUCAACCUGUAUAGCUGAGGAUGACUCUGAACUGACCCUCCUGCCCCUGCCUCCUGUGAGGAUGGCACGCAUCUUCAUGUCGAGACACUCAGCCUGGGUGGCUGAGCUAUCAAACCUGGGGCUUGGUGCAUGCUAGACAUUCUACUCGCGGGGCCCAGCUGUGGGUUUACAGAGAGAGGCCUGGCAUAGAUGCAGACUUAGCACGGAGCAGAGUACAAGUGCGUACAGCCUUCCUCCUGAAGGAAGGCCUGAAACCUGUGGCCUCUCUGGUUCUUACUGGAAGCCUAGUUCAUGACAGAAAGACUCCUCCUGUGGCGUUAGAGCGAGCAUGCCCCUCAGGCCCAGAUCUCAGUGCUCGGCCCACAGUUAAUGGACUGCUCAGGAAGGAUUAGGGGCAUGGCCUUGUUGGAGGAGGUUCAAGGACUCACAGCUGGCCCAGUGGAACUCUCUGGCUCCUGCGCCUGCCUACUCCUGUUAUGAUGACCAUGGACAAACUCUCUGAAAUGGUAAGCCACCUCGCAGUUAAGAGUUGCCAUGGUCAUGGUGUCUCCUUCAAAGGAUGACAUCAGCCCUAUUUGUCUUCAUUUUAGCUCCAGGCCUGAUCUCAAAAAGAAAGCCCCCAUCCCCGGGGACUAGGCCAUCAGUCACCAGCUCCAGGAACAGAGCAUAAAUUCCAGGAACUAGGUCAGAAAGCCCACUCCCAAGGAAGAGCCUAGAGAGGGGGAUGGGAAAAUAUCUUCUCUUGGGCCCUCUGUGCUGGCCAGCCCAAUCUCAUCCCGUGGUUAAGAAUGCAGACCACUGGGCUGGAGAGAUGGCUCAGCAGUUAAGAGCACCGACUGCUCUUCCAGAGGACCUGAGUUCAAAUCCCAGAAACCACAUGGUGGCUCACAACCAUCUGUAAUGGGAUCCAAUGCCCUCUUCUGGUGUGUCUGAUAGCUACAGUGUACUCACAUAAAAUAAAUAAAUCUUAAAAAUAAAAAAAUGAAGAACGCAGAUGACUGAG